rnacentral:lncRNA from 1 species
AGCCUCGGUGGGAGAGUUGGCGACGGGAGAUGUCGAAGGAGAAGUAGUCGGAGACGACGAUGGGGGAGAAGGUGGAGAGUCGGCGACGGGAGAUGUCGAAGGAGAAGUCGAUGGUGAAGUGCUCGAUGGAGAAGGAGCGGCGGCCGUAGGUGGAGUGCUCAAAGGAGAAGGAGCGGCGGCAGUAGGUGGAGUGCUCGACGGAGAAGGGGCGGCAGGAGCUUGUUUGGGAGAAAGCGUAGGAGACUUGGCUGGCGACGAUGCAGGGGAUUGCGCCCCGGUCGAGGCCAGCAACAAAGCAGCCAUAAGCACGAAAACGACGCCGCUGAAUCGAGCCAUUUGUAGAGAGAAAAAGAGAGAAACUCAAACAGAGAUUGUGAGAGAGAGAGCGAGAGAGAGGAGUCUAGUGAGGGUUAGAGGCGAAUAGCAGAUGGGUUUUAGGAGAGCAGAUCGGGGUUUAUAUAGAGGGAGGGGGAGGAGACGCGUGGCGUGUAGCAAACCGUUGGACGGUGGCGAUUUUCUCGCUGUGAGCCUGUGAUGAUUCAAGGUCGGUUGGGGUAAAAAGAGAACGUGUUACCAACUCAGAGCCGAAACACGCUUUGUUUAUUGGACUGGGCUGGUUCUUUUAUGGCCGUUGGAUGUAUGCUUUACAGCCUAUAACGGUUAACUAUCCGACGGUGCAGAUGGUAGGUUAUCUGGCAGAUUCGCUUCUUUCUUUUGUUUUUAUUUUAGUUGGACUUUUCUUUUUCUUUUGGAAAUCUUUCUUUCUUUCUUUUAUUUUCUGGCUGUACAGAUUGUUAUCUUAAAGCAAACGGAUCCUUUCUUUCAAUCUUAGGUGCCAGAUUGGAAAAUUUGAAGCUAAGGUAGGGCAUGUCAGCUAGGUUUUUAUCGAGGUCCUUUCAUGCACCUUAUCUUUCACCUUUGUAAGUUUUAUUCUCAAUUAAUGAAUAUAAUACUUUUUUAUAUUUUUUAUAAAAAUAAAAAAUAAAUAAAUCGAACAGUUUAACCAUUUUUUUUAACUAACAAUAGCGUUAGCAGGUUAAAUUAUUCAUUUUUAGAAAGAAAGAGAAUUGGUGGGGGUCGAACUUGCACUAAAGUGAUAAACGUGAUUGUUUUUUGUCAUUGUGAUAAAAUGUCAUCAGCACGAUUAAACUAUUUGUUACUUGUUUGAUUUUUAUAAUAUUAAAAUAGACAGAUUUUGAUAAUUAAGUAGACAUAUCAUUUUUAGGGCAAGCAUGAAAUUUAGUCCAAGUGAGAUUUUGAAAAGAAGGAAAGAAAGUAGAAAGUGUCUUGUGGAAUUGACUGAUUCUCUUGUAAGACGGGGUAUGGAGUCCUUGAGUCAGUCCACUUUUAACCCUUCAAAGAGGGCAUAGAAGCCUAGAUAGGUUAUAAUAGCCCGUUCAACUUCCAUUCAAUUGUUAGGUUUUGACUCGAUGUAUUUGUCUUGCUAUGGAAAAUAAUGCCUUACAAGACACUACAUAUAUGAUCCAGCUUCCGGCAAUUGCAAUGGCUUCUUUAUUUUUUUUAUAUAUUAAAAAAAUGAGUUCUUAGAUACAACAAGAACAAAUCUUAUAUAUAUAUAUAUAUUCAAGACUUACUUGAUACAAUAAAAAUCUCUGUUUGGAAAAUUUGAAGCUAAAGUAGGGCAUGUUAGCUAGGAUUUAGAAUUAUUUUGUACAUGAAGAAAUAGACCGAAUGGUUAAAUCAUUGUUUUUAACGAACAAUAGCUUUAAAUUUAACUCGUUAAUUGUUAGGAGGGAGUAGGAUUGGUGGAAAUCGAACCUGCACUAAAGUGCACAAGCAUGAUUACUUUUCGUCACUACGAUAAAGUGUCAUCAGCACAAUGAAACCACUUUCUUCUUCAUUGAUUUUUAUAAUGUUAAAAUAGACGAUUUUGAUAAUUAAGUAGACAUAUCAUUUUUAGGGCAAGCAUGAAACUUUGUCCAAGUGAGAUUUUGUUAAGAAGGAAAGAAAGAAGAAAGUGUCAAGUGGAAUUGAAUGAUUCUGUAGUGAGAAAGGGAAUGGAGUGCUUGAGUCAAUCCACUUUUAACCCUUCAAAGAGGGCAUAGAACAAUAGAUAAGUUAUAGCCCGUUCAACUUCCAUUAGGUUCUGACUCAUAUAUUUGUCUUGCUGUGAUAAGAAUGCCUUACCGGACACUACACAUAUGAUCCAGCUCCCGGCCGAGGUAUCCGUUUUAUGAUAACUUUCAACAGUUUCUGCUCCAUUUUUGUACCUUUAGUUGGCCUUAAUAUUCUCGGCAAUUGCAAUGGCUUCUUUAUCUCCUUAUGUUUAAAAAAAAAAUUAAAAAAUCAAGAGGUUUCAUAUACAACAAGGACAAAUCAUAUAUAUAUUCAUGACUUGCUUGGAUCAUAACACAAAUAUCUAUUUGGUAUAAUAUCGCAUGGAAACAAACAAGGUUAAAUUGAUACUAUAGAAAUCUCUAGUAAAAUGUCUACCCGUAAUCUACAUAGUUCAUUUUAGGGAUUGGCCCCUGCGUUUGUGGUUUCACCCUUUUGGGUGUAAUAGCUUCAAAGUUUGAUAGUUUACGUUAAAGACAGAUCCGCUUCUUUUUUUGUGCAUGAAUUUGGUGUAUACAACAACACCCAUAUUUAUGUCACUUCUAACUAGGCUUAAAAAUGAAAUUUGUUCAUGUCUCCAACGAUUUCAUGUAUGCCGAUUUUAUUGUUGUAUGAAAAUUUUAGCUGAGGAGGUGGGAAACAAUAUUAGAAACAUCUUUCAAACUUUAAAAGACAAGACAAAAGACAAAAGUUGCUACGUCUCAUGUUGCUUUACUGACAAAUUUGAUUGGAUUCAGGAAUUGAUGCUGAUACUUUUGUUGUAAUGUCAAUUAUGUCGAAACAUAAGCUACUCUACUUUCGAGUUGGUUGUAUUCAAAAAUGCUUUUCAUCGUUUAAAAGCGUUUUCAGCUAUCUCAAAAGCAUAAUGGUGUCCAUAUUCUAAUAACAGAGGUUCUUGGAUAUGAAUGCAGGGCAAAUUUGGUGAUAACACAUAUUGAAAUAAUAAUCGAAAAAUAAUGUCUCUUUAUAUUCUCAUAUAACCGCGCUACAAAUUUAAAUUAAUAAAAGAAUUUAAUACAAUAAUAAGUGGAAAUUCAAAAGUCCAUAAACACCCCCACUCUACAUAACCAAUACAGCAGCGAAGAUCCCAGCGGCUACAGACGCGGAGGCUGAGAACCUGUUCAAAACAGCACCGUUAGCAGGAGCGGGAGCCUCGGAGGGAGGUCCAGAAACUGAAGAUGGAGAAGUAGUCGGAGACGACGAUAGGGGAGAAGGUGGAGUGUCAGCGACGGGAGAUGUCGAAGGAGAAGCGGAUGGUGAAGUGCUCGAUGGAGAAGGAGCGGCGGCAGUAGGUGGAGUGCUCGACGGAGAAGGGGCGGCGGGAGAUUUUUUGGGGGAAAGUGAGGGAGACUUGGCUGGUGACGAUGCAGGGGAUUGCGCCCAGGUCGAGGCCAGCAAGAGAGAAACCAUUAGCACCAAAACGACGCCGAAGAAUCGAGCCAUUUGUAGAGAGAGAAACAGAACUCAAACAAAGAUUUUUAGAGAGAGAGGAAGAGAGGAAUUAAGUGAUUGAGAGGCAACUGAAUGAAUGAUGGUUUAAGGAGAAGGGCGGGGGGUUUAUAUAGGGGGAGGCGGAGGACACGUGGCUUUAAAGUACCGUUGGACGGUGAGAUUUUCUGGCUGUGAAGGUUGGAUGGUGGGGUUGGGAAACGUGUUACCAAACUCAGAGAAGAUACGCGGUUUGUUUUAUCGGGCUGGAAUGUUGACCGUUGGAUGGGUACCUUAGGUUAUAACGGGUAGUUUUCCUACGGUGGAGAUUGUAGGUUAUCUGGCAGGUUCGCUUUGUUCUU